rnacentral:rRNA from 1 species
GAUGAACGCUGGCGGCGUGCUUAACACAUGCAAGUCGAACGAGAAGUGAAGACGGAAACCUUCGGGCGGAAGGCUUUAUUUCGAGUGGCGGACGGGUGAGUAACGCGUGGGUAACCUGCCUCAUACAGGGGGAUAACAGUUGGAAACGACUGUUAAUACCGCAUAAGACCACAGCACCGCAUGGUGCGGGGGUAAAAACUCCGGUGGUAUGAGAUGGACCCGCGUUCGAUUAGCCAGUUGGCGGGGUAACGGCCCACCAAAGCGACGAUCGAUAGCCGAUCUGAGAGGAUGACCGGCCACAUUGGGACUGAGACACGGCCCAAACUCCUACGGGAGGCAGCAGUGGGGAAUAUUGCACAAUGGGGGAAACCCUGAUGCAGCGACGCCGCGUGAGUGAAGAAGUAUUUCGGUAUGUAAAGCUCUAUCAGCAGGGAAGAAGAUGACGGUACCUGAGUAAGAAGCCCCGGCUAACUACGUG